rnacentral:rRNA from 1 species
UACAGAGGGUGCAAGCGUUAAUCGGAAUUACUGGGCGUAAAGCGUGCGUAGGUGGUAUUUUAAGUCAGUUGUGAAAUCCCCGGGCUCAACCUGGGAAUUGCAGCUGAGACUGAAAUACUAGAGUGCAGUAGAGGGAAGUGGAAUUUCCGGUGUAGCGGUGAAAUGCGUAGAUAUCGGAAGGAACAUCAGUGGCGAAGGCGACUUCCUGGGCUGUUACUGACACUGAGGCACGAAAGCGUGGGGAGCGAACAGG